GGCUCCGUAGUUCAAUGGAUAGAACGGAAGUUUCCUAAACUUUAAAUACAGGUUCGAUUCCUGUCGGGGCUA
rnacentral:tRNA from 1 species